rnacentral:rRNA from 1 species
UACGGAGGGGGCCAGCGUUGUUCGGAAUCAUUGGGCGUAAAGGGCGCGUAGGCGGCUUUGUAAGUCCGUUGUGAAAUCCCUCGGCUCAACCGAGGAACUGCGACGGAUACUGCUUGGCUUGAGUCCCGGAGAGGGUAGCGGAAUUCCCAGUGUAGCGGUGAAAUGCGUAGAUAUUGGGAGGAACAUCGGUGGCGAAGGCGGCUACCUGGACGGGUACUGACGCUGAUGCGCGAAAGCUAGGGGAGCAAACAGG